AACGAACGCUGGCGGCAUGCCUAACACAUGCAAGUCGAACGAAGGCUUCGGCCUUAGUGGCGCACGGGUGAGUAACGCGUGGGAAACUGCCUAUUGGUGGGGAAUAACGACGGGAAACUGUCGCUAAUACCGCAUAGGCCCUUCGGGGGAAAGAUUUAUCGCCGAUAGAUGUGCCCGCGUCCGAUUAGCUAGUUGGUGAGGUAAUGGCUCACCAAGGCGACGAUCGGUAGCUGGUCUGAGAGGAUGAUCAGCCACGCUGGGACUGAGACACGGCCCAGACUCCUACGGGAGGCAGCAGUGGGGAAUAUUGGACAAUGGGCGAAAGCCUGAUCCAGCAAUGCCGCGUGAGUGAUGAAGGCCUUAGGGUUGUAAAGCUCUUUCGGGUGGGACGAUGAUGACGGUACCACCAGAAGAAGCCCCGGCUAACUUCGUGCCAGCCGCCGCGGUAA
rnacentral:rRNA from 1 species